CUUCCUCGGCCUGCUGCGGCGCAAUGAAGUGAAUAUGCGUGUCUAUCCCGCCGGCGGUGAGGAUCUUGCCCUCGCCCGCGAUGACAUCUGUGGCGGGACCGACGACUAUAUCGACGCCCGGCUGGAUAUCGGGAUUUCCGGCCUUGCCGAUCCCCCCCGAAAUACGGCCGUUCUUGAUGCCGACAUCGGCUUUGAUGMUGACCCCCCAAUAGUACGAGGAUGAUGACAUUGGUGAUGACGAGAUCGGCUGUUUCGGCAGCAGGUCUCUGUCCCUGCCCCCCCAUGCCAUCGCGGAU
rnacentral:sRNA from 1 species